UUGAAUUGGAAACAGUGAUCUUCCGGUGGCAGUCUUUGUGUGACCAGAGCAGAGCUAAGAGAGAUGAGUUAAGCAAGGAAGCAGGGCAUUGAGGAUUCAAUGACAUCCAUGCCUUGGGAAGGACUAAGCCUUGGAACAACAGAUAUGUGAAGGAUAUGUUCUAGUAUGUCCAAAAUCCCCACCCUGUGUGGAUCAUGUGCUCGAGCUGAAUUCCAGGCCGCAAAUCUGGCCCACUUGUGCAGGUAUGCAGCUACCACAGACAGAACUUUGGAAAAGACCCUGGGGGCUGAAGACAACCCGAAGGGGAGCACCCUGUACUGAUAGUCUGUAUCCCUAGUGUGUGGAGCGUCACCCUGGAGUCCUUCAAUGGUAGAGAGCUGAGUUUGUAGCCUCUGCAAAAAGCUUCUCACCCUUGAAUGGGAGAUCCUCAAUAUUUGAUCGAACAUCCCUGGGGAACCCCGACAGCUGCAGCCAUGAUAUCCAUCUCAAGGCUACUGCAGAUGCCAUUGACCUGGCUGCUAUGUCCGCUGCAUCUAAUGCAGCCUGUAAAGCUGUUCAGGAAAUCAAUGAGCCUUCUCUGAUAUUUGAUUCGAACUGCUCCCUCACACCUUCUGGUAUAUAUUGAAUAAAGGAAUUGAAUGAUU